AGUAUUUUGACUAUACAAAGGUAUUGAAAUAAGACUUUAAUUGAGUGCUAAGAGAAUGGAAUUUCAUAAAAUUUCUUUUUUAAUUUUAAAAAUUGAAAUUAAUUUUAUAUGUGAAGAAACAAUAAUAAAAAUUAAGGACAAGAAGACCCUAAGAAUUUUAAAAAUUUCAAUAAAAUACUGUAUUUUAUUGAAAUUUUUUAAUUGGGGCGAUUAUUAAAUAUUAAAAACUUUAAUUUUUUUAAAAAAGAACCAAUAAUAUUGGUUAUUUGAAAAAAUACUCUAGGGAUAACAGCGUAAUAAUUUUUGAUAGUUCUUAUAGACAAAAUAGUUUGCGACCUCGAUGUUGGAUUAGGAUUCUUUUUUAAUGAAGAAGUUAAAAAAAGAAGUUUGUUCAACUUUUAAAAUCCUA
rnacentral:rRNA from 1 species